rnacentral:lncRNA from 1 species
UAUACUAAUUUGAACUGUUGAUGAUACAGGUAUACCCUGUUUAAUGAAUUUUUGCUAUAAUAUACAAUCAGUUUUAUUACUAAUUCUUACUGUAGCAUAUUAUUCUGUUGCUAUUCCAAAAACUAACAAUGCAAUGAGAUCUGAAAUUUUGAUGUCAAACAGUAUAAUGUCCCAUGUACAGUCCUGUGCAAAAAGUUUGUCAGGUUCUGCCAAGGAGAGGAAGUGGCUGACUCACCAUCGAGUAUUACAUCAGUCACUAACGUCUGAAGACGCCGCGAAACAAAAUGAACUCGACCGUUGUCUCGGUUAAUAGGGGAAAUAGUUUUACAAUGAAUGGAAAGAGAUGUCACUAUUUCAUUGGCACGACUAAUCUGAGAUUUAUUAUUUACUCUGCCGCUGUAUUUAAUAGUCAAGUAACAAAACUACUUAUAAUCAAAAAUGAAAU